UUACAUACAACCCAUAAUUCAUUACGUUUUCAAUUCCGAUGAAUUUAGACUUCUAGUCUUCCGAUUAAAUUAAUAAAUAAUAGUAAUAGUAGUAGGUAGCAUUGUAUCAUAAUUUAUCCAUCCGAUCCCAUCGGUCCCAUUCCAUCCAUCUAUACAUCCAUGACAUAUACAGUCAUACAGUGGACAAGAAUGGUGGCGACCGAGGUUGGGAAAGGACAACAACAGAUUGAACAACCACCAUCACGCCGCCCUACAGAUCUCUGAUGGGUAACGACUUAAUGAUUCAAGAAAAAGGAGGGAGUGAAUUAACAGGAGCCAGUGGUCGAUGUCAAAGAUGGGAAAAGGCCGUCGGAGUACCAGGUAUUGGUGGUGUUCCAGAUCUGUUUCAUCCCUAACUCCAUUCGUCGAUCCUCACACUUUUGCUACGACUAGAUCGCAAUUUUUCAAGGUUUUUGGUGGUUCCUUUUUUUUUUUUUUUUUUGUGAGUGUAUUAUGUGUGUUCAUAUAUGGAUGUCACUUUAAAGAAUUAACAAAUCUUUGAUUGCUUUGAAAGUGAUGGAUUGUUUUGAUAUUAAUUUUCAUAAGUUGGCUUGUUUCUCGUA